UUCCGGUUGAUCCUGCCGGACCCGACUGCUAUUUGGGUGAGAAUAAGCCAUGCGAGUUGAAUGGGAUACCUAAAGUUCCCAUAGCAAACUGCUCAGUAACACAUGAUCAACUUACCCUAUAGAGAAAAAUAACCUCGGGAAACUGAGGAUAAUGUUUCAUAAUUGAAUUGGCUUGGAAAAGUUUUUCAAUGAAAGGAUAAAAAAAAUGGUUUUUAUCUGCUAUAGGAUAGGAUCGUGUUCGAUUAUGGUUGUUGGUGAGAUAAUGGCUCACCAAGCCGAUAAUCGAUAGGGGCCGUGAGAGCGGGAGCCCCGAGAUGGGUACUGAGACAACGACCCAGGCCUUACGAGGCGCAGCAGGCGCGGAACCUCCGCAAUACACGAAAGUGUGACGGGGUUACCCAAAGUGUUCAAUAGAACUGUGGUAGGUGAGUAAUGUUCCCUACUAGAAAGGAGAGGGCAAGGCUGGUGCCAGCCGCCGCGGUAAAACCAGCUCUUCAAGUGGUCGGGAUAAUUAUUGGGCUUAAAGUGUCCGUAGCCGGUUUAGUAAGUUCCUGGUAAAAUCGGGUAGCUUAACUAUCUGCAUGCUAGGAAUACUGCUAUACUAGAGGGCGGGAGAGGUCUGAGGUACUACAGGGGUAGGGGUGAAAUCUUAUAAUCCUUGUAGGACCACCAGUGGCGAAGGCGUCAGACUGGAACGCGCCUGACGGUGAGGGACGAAAGCCAGGGGAGCGAACCGGAUUAGAUACCCGGGUAGUCCUGGCCGUAAACGAUGCAUACUAGGUGAUGGUACGGCCAUGAGCCGUAUCAGUGCCGUAGGGAAACCGUUAAGUGUGCCGCCUGGGAAGUACGGUCGCAGGGCUAAAACUUAAAGGAAUUGGCGGGGGAGCACCACAAGGGGUGAAGCCUGCGGUUCAAUUGGAUUCAACGCCGGGAAUCACUAGUGCGGCCGC
rnacentral:rRNA from 1 species